UACGAAGGGGCUAGCGUUGCUCGGAAUCAGCUAGGGCGUAAAGGGUGCGUAGGCGGGUCUUUAAGUCAGGGGUGAAAUCCUGGGAGCUCAACUCCAGAACUGCCUUUGAUACUGAAGAUCUUGAGUUCGGGAGAGGUGAGUGGAAACUGCGAGUGUAGAGGUGAAAAUUCGUAGAUAUUCGCAAGAACACCAGUGGCGAAGGGCGGACUCACUGGCCCGAUACUGACGCUGAGGCACGGAAAGCGA
rnacentral:rRNA from 1 species